UCACUACAUUAAAUUACUUUGUGAAAAUCCUGCAAAACAAUGAACUCAUUCUGCUUUCAACAGAGUUCGAUGUCUGUUGGAGAGUCAUGACUUUGUGCGUGCAUUUAUGAUUUUGGUUCUGAUGCCUGAGACCUGAUUCUUUCAUAAUGUAUCACGCUUUGGAGUAUGCAUUGGACCGUGCAGAGUACAUUAUUGGGUGUGCCAGACAACGACCGCCAAAAAGAAGGCAUUCAUCUAGUGGAAGGAAAUCAGUACAUCAGAAAUUGUAUGACCUGUAUAUGGAAGAAUGUGAAAAAGAACCAGAGUUGAAG